rnacentral:rRNA from 1 species
AUUGAACGCUGGCGGCAGGCCUAACACAUGCAAGUCGAGCGGAUGAGGAAAGCUUGCUUUUCGAUUCAGCGGCGGACGGGUGAGUAAUGCCUAGGAAUCUGCCUGUUAGUGGGGGAUAACUCGGGGAAACUCGGGCUAAUACCGCAUACGUCCUACGGGAGAAAGUGGGGGAUCUUCGGACCUCACGCUAACAGAUGAGCCUAGGUCGGAUUAGCUAGUAGGUGAGGUAAUGGCUCACCUAGGCGACGAUCCGUAACUGGUCUGAGAGGAUGAUCAGGCGCACUGGAACUGAGAAACGGUCCAGGAUCCUACGGGAGGCAGCAGUGGGGAAUAUUGGACAAUGGGCGAGAGCCUGAUCCGGCCAUGCAGCGUGUGUGAAGAAGGUCUUCGGAUUGUAAAGCACUUUAAGUUGGGAGGAAGGGUAUUCACCUAAUACGUGGGUACUUUGACGUUACCAACAGAAUAAGCACCGGCUAACUCUGUGCCAGCAGCCGCCGUAAUAC